GGUGAAAAGCACCCCGGAAGGGGAGUGAAAUAGAACCUGAAACCGUGUGCUUACAAGUAGUCAGAGCCCGUUAAUGGGUGAUGGCGUGCCUUUUGUAGAAUGAACCGGCGAGUUACGAUUUGAUGCAAGGUUAAGCAGUAAAUGUGGAGCCGUAGCGAAAGCGAGUCUGAAUAGGGCGUUUAGUAUUUGGUCGUAGACCCGAAACCAGGUGAUCUACCCUUGGUCAGGUUGAAGUUCAGGUAACACUGAAUGGAGGACCGAACCGACUUACGUUGAAAAGUGAGCGGAUGAACUGAGGGUAGCGGAGAAAUUCCAAUCGAACCUGGAGAUAGCUGGUUCUCUCCGAAAUAGCUUUAGGGCUAGCCUCAAGUGAUGAUUAUUGGAGGUAGAGCACUGUUUGGACGAGGGGCCCCUCUCGGGUUACCGAAUUCAGACAAACUCCGAAUGCCAAUUAAUUUAACUUGGGAGUCAGAACAUGGGUGAUAAGGUCCGUGUUCGAAAGGGAAACAGCCCAGACCACCAGCUAAGGUCCCAAAAUAUAUGUUAAGUGGAAAAGGAUGUGGCGUUGCCCAGACAACUAGGAUGUUGGCUUAGAAGCAGCCAUCAUUUAAAGAGUGCGUAAUAGCUCACUAGUCGAGUGACACUGCGCCGAAAAUGUACCGGGGCUAAACAUAUUACCGAAGCUGUGGAUUGUCCUUUGGACAAUGGUAGGAGAGCGUUCUAAGGGCGUUGAAGCAUGAUCGUAAGGACAUGUGGAGCGCUUAGAAGUGAGAAUGCCGGUGUGAGUAGCGAAAGACGGGUGAGAAUCCCGUCCACCGAUUGACUAAGGUUUCCAGAGGAAGGCUCGUCCGCUCUGGGUUAGUCGGGUCCUAAGCUGAGGCCGACAGGCGUAGGCGAUGGAUAACAGGUUGAUAUUCCUGUACCACCUAUAAUCGUUUUAAUCGAUGGGGGGACGCAGUAGGAUAGGCGAAGCGUGCGAUUGGAUUGCACGUCUAAGCAGUAAGGCUGAGUAUUAGGCAAAUCCGGUACUCAUUAAGGCUGAGCUGUGAUGGGGAGAAGACAUUGUGUCUUCGAGUCGUUGAUUUCACACUGCCGAGAAAAGCCUCUAGAUAGAAAAUAGGUGCCCGUACCGCAAACCGACACAGGUAGUCAAGAUGAGAAUUCUAAGGUGAGCGAGCGAACUCUCGUUAAGGAACUCGGCAAAAUGACCCCGUAACUUCGGGAGAAGGGGUGCUCUUUAGGGUUAACGCCCAGAAGAGCCGCAGUGAAUAGGCCCAAGCGACUGUUUAUCAAAAACACAGGUCUCUGCUAAACCGUAAGGUGAUGUAUAGGGGCUGACGCCUGCCCGGUGCUGGAAGGUUAAGAGGAGUGGUUAGCUUCUGCGAAGCUACGAAUCGAAGCCCCAGUAAACGGCGGCCGUAACUAUAACGGUCCUAAGGUAGCGAAAUUCCUUGUCGGGUAAGUUCCGACCCGCACGAAAGGCGUAACGAUUUGGGCACUGUCUCAACGAGAGACUCGGUGAAAUCAUAGUACCUGUGAAGAUGCAGGUUACCCGCGACAGGACGGAAAGACCCCGUGGAGCUUUACUGUAGCCUGAUAUUGAAAUUCGGCACAGCUUGUACAGGAUAGGUAGGAGCCUUUGAAACGUGAGCGCUAGCUUACGUGGAGGCGCUGGUGGGAUACUACCCUAGCUGUGUUGGCUUUCUAACCCGCACCACUUAUCGUGGUGGGAGACAGUGUCAGGCGGGCAGUUUGACUGGGGCGGUCGCCUCCUAAAAGGUAACGGAGGCGCUCAAAGGUUCCCUCAGAAUGGUUGGAAAUCAUUCAUAGAGUGUAAAGGCAUAAGGGAGCUUGACUGCGAGACCUACAAGUCGAGCAGGGUCGAAAGACGGACUUAGUGAUCCGGUGGUUCCGCAUGGAAGGGCCAUCGCUCAACGGAUAAAAGCUACCCCGGGGAUAACAGGCUUAUCUCCCCCAAGAGUUCACAUCGACGGGGAGGUUUGGCACCUCGAUGUCGGCUCAUCGCAUCCUGGGGCUGUAGUCGGUCCCAAGGGUUGGGCUGUUCGCCCAUUAAAGCGGUACGCGAGCUGGGUUCAGAACGUCGUGAGACAGUUCGGUCCCUAUCCGUCGUGGGCGUAGGAAAUUUGAGAGGAGCUGUCCUUAGUACGAGAGGACCGGGAUGGACAUACCUCUGGUGUACCAGUUGUCGUGCCAACGGCAUAGCUGGGUAGCUAUGUGUGGACGGGAUAAGUGCUGAAAGCAUCUAAGCAUGAAGCCCCCCUCAAGAUGAG
rnacentral:rRNA from 1 species